AGCUAUGUUCAUUUAAAAAAUAAAAAAUAAAUCACUUCGGUGGUGAUUGGAAGGUUACGACUGAGCGCUCAAAUGAACACAAAGGAUUUAAAUAUAGUCCAAUUAUUCUAAGCAAGUACAAGCAGCGCUUUAAAAA